UCCGUCCCCCAGAGAUUCCCCGCGCAAGAAGAUCCCUGCUCUGCUCCCCCUCCUUGCUCCCCUCCUCCUCCGCCGCGUUGCUUCCCGGCGAGGAGAAGCAUCGAUUUUUCCUGCUCCACCACCGCCACAGCUUGCCACCGCCGUAACUGCCUCCUCCGCGGCUCUCUCCUGCUCGCGCAGCUCCAGCUUGCCUUCCUCCCCUAGCUUCCCUAGUGACCGCCGCGCUCUGCUCCGGCUGCUUCAGAUCCGGCGUCGGCAAGGCUGAUAUGGUGGCUGCGAGGCCAGACGGCAGGAGACGUAGCCGACGAGCCCGACGACAGCAAGCUUGAUGGCGAGCUCGACGGCGGCGGAGACGUCUUCUGUACUGCGAGCUCCACCAUCCCUGCACAUACUGUACUGCGAGCUCGACGACGGCGGUGGCAUCUUCUUGGCAGGGACCAGGGCCAGGAAUUGAAAAGCAAACAAAAGCAGGGGCCAGGAGUACAUCUCAACUUUUACUGUAUUUCUUGUUGACAACUAGUGCAGAGCAAGCAAGCAAGCAAUGUACACAGAUCAGUUGUGUUUCAAACUACAGAGCAAGCAAGCAAGGCACUGGAGAUGAACAAAUUACAGAGCCAUGUACUUCUCACCAGCAGCAGCACGAGCCGGUGGCCUCAGGCGACAGCACACGAGAAGGGGAGCUCUGGGCGGCAGCACACGAGAAGGGGAGCUCCGGGCGGCAACACGAUUAGGGGAGGAGCAGCAAGUUGCGGAGAAGCAGCAGAAGGGGUCCAGGACCGUGAAAGAACUUGAGGAUGAGCUUGAGGGAGCUCGUGGUCCAGGCGCGGCGGGAGCUCGUGGUCCAGACGCUCGAGACCCAGGCGCGCGCGGGUCCUGGGCGGCGGCGGCGCAGGCCCUGCGAGGAAGGAGGGGAUAUCGUCGGCGCAGGUCCUGGGCCGCGGAGGAGCACGUCCUGUGCGGCGACGGAGCAAGCAGGGCGGCGCGGAUCCUGGGCCGUGGAGGAGCACGUCCAGUGCGGCGGCGGAGCAAGCAAUUGGGCGGCGCAGGUCCUGGGCUGACGACUGGCCCUGGCGACGCGCGCCGGCGACGGGCGGAGGAAGAAGGAAGGAGACGCGACCUGUAUGGCGACCUGUUUGUAAGAAAUUUGAAGUUAUGAGGGUGUUUUUGAAAAAUUGGCAUUACACUAUGUUGUGGAGAACUUUUCCCGGACGGAGGGAGUACAUUCUUAGGAAGGAACUCCAGAGGAUGAAGAAGAGGCUCGACAGAUUAUUCGUCGAUCCAAAGCCUUUACUGUGAUAA